rnacentral:lncRNA from 1 species
AGGAAAUGACUAUACCGUGGUGCUUAAGGAGAGCAGAACUUGUGUUUAAGUGUGUCAAAGGUUUCAUGAUGGAAAUGGCCUCAUGGGAUGGAGGAAUUUCUAGAACAGUGCAAUUUCUGGUACCACAGAGCAUUUCUGAAGAAAUGUUUUAUCAACUUAGUAACAUGCUUCCCCAGAUCUUCCGCGUAUCGUCAACACUGACCCUGACCUCUAAGCACUAGACCCUCGUAGACCAACCCGCUGGCAGAAGAGGAUUGUUUAACACUCCAGGAAUCUGAGCCAUGCUGGGAUUCUGUCAAGCAAAAGAUGCCCAGAAGGAGGACCUGCAAUCCAAUCCGCAAAUCCAAUCAUGACAAAUGUCUGUUAAACAGUCCAAAAAUCCAUGCUAAUCAGCCCUUACUUUAUACAUUUAGUCUUAAAGCUUCUUUAUGGGGGAAAAAAGUCUUUUUUUCCUACGGUUGUGUCCUAUCUGUGAAUAUUAGUGAGUUAAAACUAGGUGUAUAUCACACAUGGACACUAGAUGUAGAUCUUUCACUACAUUUUCAUGGAGAUAUUUGACUUGCCCAAAAGGUUUGGAUCACAUCCGGGACAAGGCUUAAUUAACAUACAAAUAAAAUCUUCCCUCUACCUUAUUUGCCAAGCGAAAAUUAAAAGACAAUGAAAUAUACGUGGCAAGUAUGGAUUUCUUGUGAUAAUCUUUUCAUAGAAACACAAAUACAUGAGACAAACGUGAUUCUUCUUUUUAAAUUCCAUUUCAGAAACUCGUUUUUAAUGUACUCUUUCUAGGUUUUAGAAGUUAAGAAUCAGAAAAAGACUGGAUUCUUUGCCCCCGUCUCAUCUUCCCUUUGUGACCUUGCCCUUGCCUGUUAAUACUGUUUCGUGGGCUGGGAAACCAGUGUGCCUGUACGCAGGCCUGGUGGAAGUUGGUCUGAACCAGCACAUGGUGGUAUUUUCAUUCUCAUCCACAUGGUGACCAUCAGACAGUAAGUAUCCUUCCCAUUUCUCUGCCCUGCUUCCCACAUUCUGCUUCCUGCAUUACUUUGCUGAUAACUACGUCCCCAUUUCUGUCUCUGCCGUUUCUCCACUUUUUCCAUUGUCUUUCCUUAGAACGACUUCCUUAGAUACUUAUGCACAUCUCACUUAUCUAUCCCAUCUAGAACAUAGUUACUCUGAGUAGGGACUACAUCACAUAAAGGCAUUUAUAGAAGCAAUGAUUUCAUCAAAUCCAAGUUGCAUGGAAGUUGUGAUUGGCCAGCUGAGUGAAGUGGAGAACCUCUGACAUCAUCAUAAGAUGGUAGAUCUUUUAUAUCUUUCUAUCUAUACAUAAACUAUAUAUAUAUAUAUAGUUGGUUGUAAAUACAUGAAGUAUAGUCAAUUUACAAUGUUUCUGGUGUAUAGCAAAGUGUUUCAGACACACACACACACACACACGCUUUCCUUUUUGUACUCUCUUCCAUUAUGGUUUAUUGUAAGAUACUGAAGGAGUUCCCAUAGUGGCUCAGCAGAAAUGAAUCUGACUAGUAUCCAUGAGGAUGCAGGUAUGACGCCUGGCUUCACUUAACAGGUUAAGAAUCUGGCAUUGCUGUGGCUGAUGGCGUAGGCCGGCAGCUACAGCCCCAAUUCGACCCCUAGCCUAGAAACCUCCAUAUGCCGCAGGUACGGCCCUAAAGAGACCAAAGGGGAAAAAAAAAUUAUGUGCAUAUAUAUAUAUAAAAUAUGGUUCCCUGUGCUAUACAGUAGGACUUUGUGGUCUAUUUAUUUUAUAUGUAGUAAUUUAUAUCUGCUAACCCAAACUCCUAAUUUAUCCCUUCCCCACCCCUUUUCCCCUUUGGUAACCACUGUUUUGUUUUCUGUGUCUCUGAGUCUGUUUUCUGUUUUGUAAAUAAGUUCAAUUCAGAUAAGUAUAUGUUGAUUCGAAGAAAUAGAAAGCACUCUAUUCAUAUGCCUAAAAGUAAAAAUUUAUGGAAACUCUUUUGAUGCACAAAAUGCUUUCUCAUAACACAGAAUGUGUCUUUAUUUUCUACUCAAGGAAAGGACUGUCCAGUAAUGACCCUAAGGGAACACCUACCCCAGACCGUGUCUCUUACUAAUGCUUUGUAAAUCCUUCUCCAAGGAACCUGAUGAUCCCACCAAGAAGAAGGUAGGUGCCUGCUCUUGGAACAAGAAAUUGGCUUCCAGGCACGAAUGCUACCAUAGAGGCUGAUUCUAACACAAAGCAAGGUAGACAGAAAACUGGGGUGUGCUAGAACAGUGUCAGGAUGUUGGGAUUGGUAGUCUGACAGGUUGAGUUGGAGGUGGGUGUAGUGGGAUCAAUAAAAGGCAUUCAAUGUAUGCCUGUUCAAUCAACUAGGAGUUUGGGACUGGCAGAUACAAACUACUAUAUAAAAUAAAGACACACUGUCCUUUAUAUCACGGGAAACUGUAUUCAAUAUCUUGUAAUAGAAUAUAAUGGAAAAAAAUUGAAAAAGAAAAAAAUAGACAUAUAUGAGAAUCACUUUGCUGUACACCAGAAACUGAAACAACAUUGCACACCAACUGUACUGCCAUAAAUGAAAAAUUUGAAAAUUAAAAAAAAUUU